rnacentral:rRNA from 1 species
GAACGCCCGUAGCAAUACGGGAGUGGCAGACGGGAGAGUAACACGUGGGAACGUGCCCUUCAGUUCGGAACAACCCAGGGAAACUUGGGCUAAUACCGGAUACGUCCGUAAGGAGAAAGAUUUAUCGCUGAAGGAUCGGCCCGCGUCUGAUUAGCUAGUUGGUGAGGUAAUGGCUCACCAAGGCGACGAUCAGUAGCUGGUCUGAGAGGAUGAUCAGCCUCACUGGGACUGAGACACGGCCCAGACUCCUACGGGAGGCAGCAGUGGGGAAUCUUGGACAAUGGGCGCAAGCCUGAUCCAGCCAUGCCGCGUGGGUGAUGAAGGCCCUAGGGUUGUAAAGCCCUUUCGGCGGGGAAGAUAAUGACGGUACCCGCAGAAGAAGCCCCGGCUAACUUCGUG